CGGAGAAGCCAGCGUUCCCUGCCCAGUACACCUGGAGUGCUGAAUGCUGCAAUACACAGCCCUCUGCUUGCUCAUGCCGAACACUGCUUGAAGCAGCGUUCCCCUGUAUUUGUUACUUCCCAUUUUGCACUAACCGUCGAUAAAAUCAGCUCCUGGUCUCGUGCAUGCUCUCAGACCCCAAUUUCUAUCUCAGUCUGUGAUGACCUGAUACACUGACCACUAAGAAGGCACACACAGGAAUCCUAACCUCCUAAGACAUGCUGAAUUCAUUGGGUAUUAGCAAAAGAAACUGUAAAUACUGCAGAGAGUAGUAAAGCAAACGGCACCUUAUUGCUCCAGAGAGAUAAGCAUUAGCGAAAAAUAGCUUAAAAUGUAAUGCAGUGUACCUUUGAACCGGAACAUCCUGACUUUCAAAUCCCCCCCACUGUCAAGCUUUACUGGGGAUUGAUAGUUGAGCGUGCCAAGACAGAUCGAGCGCUGUUCUGCAUCCCACCUUACAGCCACGCUGCUUUGCACCACAAAGCAAGCAGAGGAGCAAAAUAAGAGACAACCAGGAUGCAGAGCUGCAGCGCGAGGAAAACCCCCGUAGGAAAGAGUGAUCACAAGAGGCAGAGGCAAGGAAGAAGGGAAAGGCUGGAAGAGCUGAGGCUGGAACAGAGCUGGAGAGAAACAGGAAGGGAAGGUUUCAUGCGAUGGAUUGGGCUGUAGGAGCCAAAAGCAUUCACGGCAGAGGCUUGGGGCAGGGGGAGGGCACUCAAGGACACUGCAGCAGAACUUGCAGGCACUCGGAGCUCGCGCUGAACUUUCUGUUCCCGGCUGCCUGUUUUGGAGCGUGCUCAGGGGAUGCCUCCCCUUGGGAGCUCGCCUGCUGGAAGGAGGACACGCCGCCGCAGCUCCACGGGGCUGAUGGCGUGGUGACGGCGGCGCAUAGGUAUGCUGUGAUGCAUCAGCUUUAUACGGCGCCGGAACGUCAUGCUGGGGUACAGGGAUGGCAUCUGCAGGUUUUACAGCUCCGGGGACCCUUUGUGGCCCACAACGGUAGCUGCUUGGCGCAUGUGGAAUUCAGCUGGUUCCCUUCAGGGAGGAUUGGAGCAGCUUCCUCAGGGAGACUUCCUUCUCAUCGCCUUCCUGCUCUGAUGGGACUCCAGGAUGAACAACGUCUGAGAAUGAAGCAUUUGGAGAUGGGAAAAAGGUACCAGGACUAUGUACCAGCAGGAUCAGACCAUGCACGGGCCUACAGAGCGUGA
rnacentral:lncRNA from 1 species